rnacentral:rRNA from 1 species
AGAGUUUGAUCCUGGCUCAGGAUGAACGCUGGCGGCGUGCCUAACACAUGCAAGUCGAGGGGCAUCGGGGCGAGGAGCAAUCCUUGCCGCCGGCGACCGGCGCACGGGUGAGUAACGCGUAUGCGACCUGCCCGUUGCAGGGGGAUAAUCGGGAGAAAUCCCGUCUAAUACCGCGUAAUGCCGCGGGGCUGCAUGGCCCUGCGGCCAAAGGGAGCGAUUCCGGCAACGGAUGGGCAUGCGUGACAUUAGCUAGUUGGCGGGGCAACGGCCCACCAAAGCGACGAUGUCUAGGGGUUCUGAGAGGAAGGUCCCCCACACUGGUACUGAGACACGGACCAGACUCCUACGGGAGGCAGCAGUGAGGAAUAUUGGUCAAUGGGCGCGAGCCUGAACCAGCCAAGUCGCGUGAGGGAUGACGGCCCUACGGGUUGUAAACCUCUUUUGUCGGGGAGCAAAUUCCGCCACGUGUGGCGGAGUCGAGAGUACCCGAAGAAAAAGCAUCGGCUAACUCCGUGCCAGCAGCCGCGGUAAUACGGAGGAUGCGAGCGUUAUCCGGAUUUAUUGGGUUUAAAGGGUGCGUAGGCGGACUGUCAAGUCAGCGGUAAAAUACGGGGGCUCAACCUCCGCCCGCCGUUGAAACUGACGGUCUUGAGUGGGCGAGAAGUAUGCGGAAUGCGUGGUGUAGAGGUGAAAUGCAUAGAUAUCACGCAGAACUCCGAUUGCGAAGGCAGCAUACCGGCGCCCAACUGACGCUGAAGCACGAAAGCGUGGGUAUCGAACAGGAUUAGAUACCCUGGUAGUCCACGCAGUAAACGAUGAAUACUAGCUGUCCGGGGCGAAUGAGCCCUGGGUGGCACAGCGAAAGCGUUAAGUAUUCCACCUGGGGAGUACGCCGGCAACGGUGAAACUCAAAGGAAUUGACGGGGGCCCGCACAAGCGGAGGAACAUGUGGUUUAAUUCGAUGAUACGCGAGGAACCUUACCCGGGCUCAAACGACACAGGAACGUACCUGAAAGGGUUCGGCUCUACGGAGCCUGUGUCGAGGUGCUGCAUGGUUGUCGUCAGCUCGUGCCGUGAGGUGUCGGCUUAAGUGCCAUAACGAGCGCAACCCCCAUCGACAGUUGCUAACAGGUCAGGCUGAGGACUCUGUCGAGACUGCCGGCGCAAGCUGCGAGGAAGGCGGGGAUGACGUCAAAUCAGCACGGCCCUUACGUCCGGGGCGACACACGUGUUACAAUGGCAGGUACAGCGGGAAGCCACCUGGCGACAGGGAGCGGAACCCGAAAGCCUGUCUCAGUUCGGAUUGGAGUCUGCAACCCGACUCCAUGAAGCUGGAUUCGCUAGUAAUCGCGCAUCAGCCACGGCGCGGUGAAUACGUUCCCGGGCCUUGUACACACCGCCCGUCA